rnacentral:rRNA from 1 species
UCAUAGAAUUUUUUAAAAUUCAUGAUGUCGUAAGGGAAAAUAAUGAUAAUACCUUACUAUGAGUGUCGUCCAAAUCUGGUGCCAGAAGACUCGGUAAGACCAGAGACGCAAACGUUAAUCAUCAUAAACAGGCGUAAAGGGUUUGUAGGCAGCUUUUAUAGGAUUAUUAUAAAAAGGUAAUCUAAAUUAAAAGCUAGAAUCAAAAAGAGGUUAUAGUGUAUAACGCCUAGAGGAGGGCUGAUAUCCGUAGAUCCUAGGCAGAAUACUCAGGGCGAAGGCCACUCUCCAUUAAUGAUUGACGCUGAGAAACGAAGGUUAGGGUAGGAAAUAGGAUUAGAUACCCCGGUACUCCUUUCUGUAAACGAUGAAUGGUAGUCAUUAGUAAAAAAAAUAACUAGAGGCGAAGUUAACACAAUAACCAUUCCGCCUUGUGAGUACUACUGCAAAGUAGAAAACAAAAAAAUUAGUCGGUCUCGAAGCAAACGGAGUGAAGCAUGUUAUUUA